CUACGUGCCAGCAGCCGCGGUAAUACGUAGGUGGCAAGCGUUGUCCGGAAUUAUUGGGCGUAAAGCGCGCGCAGGCGGAUAGGUCAGUCUGUCUUAAAAGUUCGGGGCUUAACCCCGUGAUGGGAUGGAAACUGCCAAUCUAGAGUAUCGGAGAGGAAAGUGGAAUUCCUAGUGUAGCGGUGAAAUGCGUAGAUAUUAGGAAGAACACCAGUGGCGAAAGCGACUUUCUGGACGAAAACUGACGCUGAGGCGCGAAAGCCAGGGGAGCGAACGGGAUUAGAUACCCCGGUAGUCCUGGCCGUAAACGAUGGGUACUAGGUGUAGGAGGUAUCGACCCCUUCUGUGCCGGAGUUAACGCAAUAAGUACCCCGCCUGGGGAGUACGACCGCAAGGUUGAAACUCAAAGGAAUUGACGGGGGCCCGCACAAGCGGUGGAGUAUGUGGUUUAAUUCGACGCAACGCGAAGAACCUUACCAGGUCUUGACAU
rnacentral:rRNA from 1 species